UGAGGAAUAUUGGGCAAUGCCCGCAAGGGUGACCCAGCAACGCCGCGUGGAGGAUGAAUGCCGUAAGGUUGUAAACUCCUGUGAAAGGGGAUGAAAAUAUGGGUGUGGAGCCCGUUUUGACCGUACCCUUAAAGCAAGCUCCGGCUAACUACGUGCCAGCAGCCGCGGUAAUACGUAGGGGGCUAGCGUUGUCCGGAUUUACUGGGUGUAAAGGGCGCGCAGGCGGGUUUGUAAGUCAGGGGUGAAAUCCUACAGCUUAACUGUAGAACUGCCUUUGAUACUGCAAAUCUUGAGUUCAGAAGAGAGAGAUGGAAUUCCAGGUGUAGUGGUGAAAUACGUAGAUAUCUGGAAGAACGCCGGCGGCGAAGGCGGUCUCUUGGUCUGCAACUGACGCUCAGGCGCGAAAGCGUGGGUAGCAAACAG
rnacentral:rRNA from 1 species